rnacentral:rRNA from 1 species
UAGGGAAUCUUCCGCAAUGGACGAAAGUCUGACGGAGCAACGCCGCGUGAGUGAUGAAGGUUUUCGGAUCGUAAAACUCUGUUGUUAGGGAAGAACAAGUACCGGAGUAACUGCCGAUACCUUGACGGUACCUAACCAGAAAGCCACGGCUAACUACGUG